ACCUGAGCUGAAGGCAGACGCUUAACGACUGAGCCACCCAGGCGCCCCAACAUUUCUGUUUUCUUAAGAAACCCCCGGUAGAGCUCCCACGGCCUCAUGGUCACUCAGUGAGAACUGUCUCCGUGCGUCCCUCGAUUCCUUAGGAAGGUAUAAAGGGCACUUUCAGAAGCUGCAUGAGCAUGUCACCUGUGAUGACUCGUGUAUUGACCAAGACGGGCUUGUAGCAGUAAAGAGAAUUCGCUAACCGUCAAUGGUGAUGAUACCCACUGUGUAUGAUCGUGUACCUGACACAGUGUUUUAACAGGCCAUGGAAGUAGUCUGAGUUCAAGUCCCAACUCUGCAAUUACUUGUCAUUAAGUAGGCUCUGAGCCGUAUUUCCUCACCUAUAAAACGGGAACACCACCUGGUUGUCUCGCCUCCCGAGGUCUCACUUAUCCGCCGUCAACCACCAUGAAGAAGCAGACGAUCGUCCUUCUGAUGGAUCAUCGUCAGGUCAACAGUAACCUAAGGCUACGUCACAUGCCUACAUCACUCACCUCCCUCCAUCUCAUCACCCAGACGUGUUACCAUCUCACAUCAUCACUGGAACAAGAAGGGUUUCAUAAAGAGAAAAUUAUUGUUCCACUGCCUGUGGUGAGGAGACCAAGAAGAACAAGAUAGAAGAGGAACAGACUGAAUUUAGAGGAACCCUGUGAUCAUCUGGAAAUAAAAGAAAGCAGUCCGAUGAGGUCUACAAUGAUUGUGGUGAUUGCUGCUGAUUCAAAUCUUGCCAAAGGAGUAUGAGGAAUAGCUUCUCUUCUUGGUUUGCUAUAAACCUGGUUUCUAGACACUCACAGUGUGAAUAUUUUAUAGGCCUUAAAAUCCAACAGUAUGAAUUAUUCAGAGAUGUAAGUACUUCUGGAAAAGACGUUUUAUAUACUUUAUCUCAGGGAAGGCUUAUUUGCCUUCUGACCUAUAAAUCACAUAUAACAAGAAUAAAAUGUAGUAA